rnacentral:rRNA from 1 species
CCUACGGGCGGCAGCAGUGAGGAAUAUUGGUCAAUGGACGGAAGUCUGAACCAGCCAUGCCGCGUGCAGGAAGACGGCUCUAUGAGUUGUAAACUGCUUUUGUACAAGGGUAAACCUGAGUACGUGUAUUCCGCUGAAAGUGCUGUACGAGUAAGGAUCGGCUAACUCCGUGCCAGCAGCCGCGGUCUAACGUAGGAUCCGAGCAUUAUCCGGAGUGUCUGGGCGUAAAGAGUUGCGUAGGUGGCAUAAUAAGUAGCUAGUGAAAACUGGUGGCUCAACCAUUAAGACUAUUAGCUAAACUGUUAAGCUUGAGACCGUUAGGGGUAACUGGAAUUUCUAGUGUAGGAGUGAAAUCCUUAGAUAUUAGAAGGAACACCAAUCGCGUAGGCAGGUUACUGGGACGGGUCUGACACUAAGGCACGAAAGCGUAGGGAGCAAACGGGAUUAGAUACCCUUGUAGUC